CGCUAGGGUCUUCGCGACGGUGCCUCGGUCACGAGGUGAAAAGGGAACGCGGAAACCGGGAUCGUUCCGGCCUGCCGCGGCUGCCCCCGCAACUGUGAGCGGACGAUUACGGCCCGCCAUCGGCCACUGGAGCGAUCCGGGAAGGCGGUGGGCCGGUGUUGAGAGCCCGCGAGCCAGGAGACCUGCCGUCAUCCUUUCCUCUCG
rnacentral:ncRNA from 2 species